rnacentral:misc_RNA from 1 species
AAUUUUUGAGAUAAAGACUUAGUUAAAUUGAGUCGAGUUUGUUAUCAAGUAGCUACUGUUAAAUUAAUCAAAAGAACAAACUGAAGUACAAAAUUCAUCCCAGUGGUUGCUUGUGCAAAUGAUUUCAACUAGCUUAUGUAUUUUGAAGACAUCAUACAAAACUCUAUAAUGUCUCCUUUUUAAGUAUUUUCUUAACAAUUAAGAAACAAGAAUUUCAUGGAUUAAAAUCUAAAUUAAUUAUAUCAACCCACCUUAUAUCUCUUCCCCAAUUGAUAUCAGAAUUAUAUGUUGAAAGCUUAUUUCCUUGGCAAGUAGUUUGCAAUGAAUACUAGAAAGGAGAAUAAGGUUUGCAAUUGUAUGUGGAAAGAGUCAAAUAGUGAGGGUAGUGUGUAGUAGUUGAGUAGUUGUAAAGAUGU